UACGUAGGUGGCGAGCGUUAUCCGGAAUCAUUGGGCGUAAAGAGGGAGCAGGCGGCAGUGCAGGUCUGCGGUGAAAGCCCGAAGCUAAACUUCGGUAAGCCGUGGAAACCGCACAGCUAGAGAGCAUCAGAGGAUCGCGGAAUUCCAUGUGUAGCGGUGAAAUGCGUAGAUAUAUGGAGGAACACCAGUGGCGAAGGCGGCGGUCUGGGGUGCAGCUGACGCUCAGUCCCGAGAGCGUGGGGAGCAAAUAGG
rnacentral:rRNA from 1 species